rnacentral:rRNA from 1 species
GCUGGCGGCAGGCCUAACACAUGCAAGUCGAGCGGUAGAGAGAAGCUUGCUUCUCUUGAGAGCGGCGGACGGGUGAGUAAAGCCUAGGAAUCUGCCUGGUAGUGGGGGAUAACGUUCGGAAACGGACGCUAAUACCGCAUACGUCCUACGGGAGAAAGCAGGGGACCUUCGGGCCUUGCGCUAUCAGAUGAGCCUAGGUCGGAUUAGCUAGUUGGUGAGGUAAUGGCUCACCAAGGCGACGAUCCGUAACUGGUCUGAGAGGAUGAUCAGUCACACUGGAACUGAGACACGGUCCAGACUCCUACGGGAGGCAGCAGUGGGGAAUAUUGGACAAUGGGCGAAAGCCUGAUCCAGCCAUGCCGCGUGUGUGAAGAAGGUCUUCGGAUUGUAAAGCACUUUAAGUUGGGAGGAAGGGCAUUAACCUAAUACGUUAGUGUUUUGACGUUACCGACAGAAUAAGCACCGGCUAACUCUGUGCCAGCAGCCGCGGUAAUACAGAGGGUGCAAGCGUUAAUCGGAAUUACUGGGCGUAAAGCGCGCGUAGGUGGUUUGUUAAGUUGGAUGUGAAAUCCCCGGGCUCAACCUGGGAACUGCAUUCAAAACUGACUGACUAGAGUAUGGUAGAGGGUGGUGGAAUUUCCUGUGUAGCGGUGAAAUGCGUAGAUAUAGGAAGGAACACCAGUGGCGAAGCGACCACCUGGACUAAUACUGACACUGAGGUGCGAAAGCGUGGGGAGCAAACAGGAUUAGAUACCUGGUAGUCCACGCCGUAAACGAUGUCAACUAGC